rnacentral:rRNA from 1 species
UACGUAGGGGGCAAGCGUUGUCCGGAUUUAUUGGGCGUAAAGAGCGUGUAGGCGGCCUGGUAGGUCAGCUGUGAAAACUCGAGGCUCAACCUCGAGACGUCGGUUGAAACCACCUGGCUAGAGUCCGGAAGAGGAGAGUGGAAUUCCCGGUGUAGCGGUGAAAUGCGUAGAUAUCGUAAGGAAGACCAGUGGCGAAGGCGGGUCUCUGGACAGUUCCUGACGCUGAGGCACGAAGGUCAGGGGAGACAAACCGGGUAGU